UGUUCACCCACCAAUAGGGAACG
rnacentral:snRNA from 1 species